AGACCUCAAAUCAGGUGGGACUACCCGCUGAACUUAA
rnacentral:rRNA from 2 species